AACGUACUCCCUCCGUCCGAAAAUACUUGUCAUCAAAAUGGAUAAAAAGAUAUGUGUCUCAAACUAAAAUAUGUCUAGAUACAUCCCAUUUUAUUCAUUUUGAUGACAAGUAUUUCUGGACGGAGGGAGUACUAA
rfam:Triticum aestivum genome assembly, contig: Triticum_aestivum_CS42_TGACv1_scaffold_030428_1BL